rnacentral:rRNA from 1 species
GACGAACGCUGGCGGCGUGCUUAACACAUGCCAGUCGAACGGAAACGCCCUGCUUUCUUGGUGUGCUCGAGUGGCGAACGGGUGAGUAACACGUGAGUAACCUGCUCUUGACUUUGGGAUAACUUCAGGAAACUGGGGCUAAUACCGGAUAGGAGCUCCCGCUGCAUGGUGGGGGUUGGAAAGUUGCGGCGGUUGGGGAUGGAUUCGCGGCUUAUCAGUUUGUUGGUGGGGUAGUGGCUUACCAAGGCUUUGACGGGUAGCCGGCAUGGGAGGGUGACCGGCGACAAUGGGACUAAGAUACGGCCCAGACUGCAACGGGAGGCAGCAGUGGGGAAUAUUGCACAAUGGGCGGAAGCCUGAUGCAGAAACGCCGCGUGCGGGAUGACGGCCUUCGGGUUGAAAACAGCUUUCGCUUGUGACGAAGCGUGAGUGACGGUAAUGGGUAAAGAAGCACCGGCUAACUACGUG